rnacentral:rRNA from 1 species
CAGGGAAUCGUACGCAAUGGACGAAAGUCUGACGUCGCAAUGCCGCGUGGAGGAUGAAGGCCUUCGGGUCGUAAACUCCUUUUACGUGAUUCGAGAGAACCACGAGAAUAAGCACCUGCUAACUCUGUGCCAGCAGCCGCGGUAAUACAGAGGGUGCAAGCGUUAUCCGGAUUUAUUGGGCGUAAAGCGUUUCGUAGGCGACAUGGCAAGUUAUCUUUUAAAGACCACGGCUUAACCGGGGGAAGGGAGAUAAUACUACCAAGUUUGACUUCUGGUGGGGCAUCUGGAACUGAUGGUGUAGUAGUGAAAUACGUUGAUAUCAUCAGGAACUCCAAGGGCGAAGGCAGGAUGCUAACCAGUUAGUGACGCUGAUGAACGACAGCUAGGGGAGCGAAAGGG